CUUGACCGAACCGAGCAGCAGCGGCCGGCUUCUGUCGCGGCCCUGACCGUAGGUGGCGAGCAGCGCCUGGGCCUC
rnacentral:antisense_RNA from 1 species